UGAAGGGAAUNCUUAGUUUACGUCAAUUUA
rnacentral:piRNA from 1 species